CCUGCCCCUAGAGGCCUUGCAGGUGUUGCUGCUGUGUCACACAUGUGUCAGUAGGUGGCAGAGAGGAGAGAGGCUAUGUUUAUGUUCAGUGUUCUGCGCAGAUGAACAUCUGAAUGAUUAGUAGCUUCACAUU